rnacentral:rRNA from 1 species
AAUGAACGUUGGCGGCAUGGAUUAGGCAUGCAAGUCGGGGGAAUCCCAGCAAUGGGGGAACCGGCGUAAGGGGCAGUAAGGCAUGGGUACCUACCUUGGGGUUCGGGAUAGCCAUCAGAGAUGGUGGGUAAUACCGGAUGACGUCGUGAGACCAAAGAUUUAUCGCCCUUAGAGGGGCCCAUGUGAUAUUAGCUAGUUGGUGGGGUAACGGCCCACCAAGGCGAAGAUGUCUAGCGGGUGUGAGAGCACGACCCGCGCCACUCGCACUGAGACACUGGCGAGACACCUACGGGUGGCUGCAGUGGAGGAUCUUCGGCAAUGAGCGCAAGCUUGGCCGAGCGAUGCCGCGUGAGCGAUGAAGGCCUUCGGGUUGUAAAGCUCUUUAGUGGGGGAGAAAAGCCGCAAGGUGUGAUCUAUCCCAAAAAUAAGCACGGGCUAAGUUCGUGCCAGCCGCCGCAGUAA